AGCGAACGCUGGCGGCAGGCCUAACACAUGCAAGUCGAACGGACCUUUCGGGAUUAGUGGCGGACGGGUGAGUAACACGUGGGAGCGUGCCUUUAGGUUCGGAAUAGCUCCUGGAAACGGGUGGUAAUGCCGAAUGUGCCCUUCGGGGGAAAGAUUUAUCGCCUUUAGAGCGGCCCGCGUCUGAUUAGCUUGUUGGUGAG
rnacentral:rRNA from 1 species